GGCGCGAAAACUUUACAAUGCUGGCAACAGCGAUAAGGGAACCUCGAGUGCCAGGUUACAAAUCUGGCUGUCGAGAUGCCUAAAAAGCAUUUCAUAGCAAGGGCCGGGCAAGACCGGUGCCAGCCGCCGCGGUAACACCGGCGGCUCGAGUGGUAACCGUUAUUAUUGGGUCUAAAGGGUCUGUAGCCGGCCGGAUAAGUCUCUUGAGAAAUCUGGCAGCUUAACUGUCAGGCUUUCAGGAGAUACUGUCUGGCUCGAGGCCGGGAGAGGUGAGAGGUACUGCAGGGGUAGGGGUGAAAUCUUGUAAUCCUUGAAGGACCACCAGUGGCGAAGGCGUCUCACCAGAACGGACCUGACGGCAAGGGACGAAAGCUAGGGGCACGAACCGGAUUAGAAACCCCAGUAGUCC
rnacentral:rRNA from 1 species